AUGUAGCACUCGUACACUGCGGUUAUUCCGCGCCGUCCGCACCCACCUGGCGACUGCUCGCUACGUUUGUUGGCC
rnacentral:sRNA from 1 species